rnacentral:rRNA from 1 species
GACAGAGGGGGCAAGCGUUGCUCGGAAUCACUGGGCGUAAAGGGCUCGUAGGCGGCCAACUAAGUCGGACGUGAAAUCCCCAGGCUCAACCUGGGAACUGCGUCCGAUACUGGAUGGCUUGAAUCCGGGAGAGGGAUGCAGAAUUCCAGGUGUAGCGGUGAAAUGCGUAGAUAUCUGGAGGAAUACCGGUGGCGAAGGCGGCAUCCUGGACCGGCAUUGACGCUGAGGAGCGAAAGCCAGGGGAGCAAACGGG